AUGGGAAGAAGGGUAACGAGGAGCAGGACAACAACGUCACUGGAAAUGGCAGCAACGAUGAGGAGAAGGAGAAAAAGGAGUCAGAGAAAGGCAGCAGCACGCGGGCUGGCCAGGACACCAAUGGUGCAAGCAGCGGUGCAGGAGGCGGGGGACAAGGAGAUAAAAGCCAGACAAGCAGCAGUGGUGGCGCAGGCAACACGGGCAGUGGUGGCCAGGACAGUAAAGACACCGGCGCUGGAGACAAUGGCAACACAAGCAGCGGCACUGGUGGCCAGGGCAGUGAUGGCACCAGCACUGCUGGCAGCCAGAACAGCAACAACAACGAUAAGAACGGUGUCAGCGAGAACGGCCAGGAUGGCAACCAGCCAGAGGCCACCGAGAACGGCGGCAGCAGUGGCAAGGGUGGCAACAACGAGGGCAGCAAUGGCAAGGAGGGCAACAGCACAAAUGACAGCAACAACCAAAACCAGGGCACCAACCAGGGCAGCAAUUCCCAGAACCAGGGCAGCACCCAGAGCGGCACUAACCAGGGCACCAAGGAAAAGGACAGUGAUGGCAAAGAGAGCACAAAUGGCAGCAACACCCAGGAGCAGGGCACCAACCAGGGCAGCACCAACCAGAACCAGGGCACCAAGGAGAACAGCAAGAAAAAGGGCAGCAAUGGCAAGGACAGCGACAGCACAAAUGCCAACAACACCCCAGACAACACCAACAAGGACCAGAGCAACAAGCAGGCCCAGGGCAACACCCAGAGCGGCACCGAGCAGGGCAGCAGUGACAGGGACAGGAACGAGGCCAGCCACGGGCACACAGACGGGGCCACCAGCCAAGGCAGCAGCGGUGGGCAGCAGGCCCAGGCUGAGAGCCAGGGCAGUGCUGCUGAGCAGCAGCCUGACAGCCAGGACAGCCCAAAGAACUCGCAGGAGGAGCAGAGCCCCGUGUCACACGCGGCUCCCUCCGCUGGGGAGGACAACAGCUUCCUGGAGAAUGAAGAGAACGCCGAGGAGGAUCUGGCCAAGGCUGAGGAAGGCAGCGACAGCUCCUUGGAGCAGGACAGGGAGAAGAAUGCUCCCUCCCUGCCCAGGGCCCGCUCGGAGAGCAGCCACUUCUUUGCCUACCUGGUGA
rnacentral:lncRNA from 1 species